rnacentral:rRNA from 1 species
ACGCUCGACACCUACGGGAGGCGGCAGUGGGGAAUAUUGCACAAUGGGGGAAACCCUGAUGCAGCGACGCCGCGUGGAGGAAGAAGGUCUUCGGAUUGUAAACUCCUGUUGUUGGGGAAAAAGAGGAUGGUACCCAACAAGGAAGUGACGGCUAACUACGUGCCNGCAGCCGCGGUAAUCUGAGCGGGCUGGCAAGGC